GACGAACGCUGGCGGCGUGCUUAACACAUGCAAGUCGAACGGAAAGGCCCUGCUUUUGUGGGGUGCUCGAGUGGCGAACGGGUGAGUAACACGUGAGUAACCUGCCCUUGACUUUGGGAUAACUUCAGGAAACUGGGGCUAAUACCGGAUAGGAGCUCCUGCUGCAUGGUGGGGGUUGGAAAGUUUCGGCGGUUGGGGAUGGACUCGCGGCUUAUCAGCUUGUUGGUGGGGUAGUGGCUUACCAAGGCUUUGACGGGUAGCCGGCCUGAGAGGGUGACCGGCCACAUUGGGACUGAGAUACGGCCCAGACUCCUACGGGAGGCAGCGGUGGGGAAUACUGCACAAUGGGCGGAAGUCUGAGGCAGCAACGCCGCGUGCGGGAUGACGGCCUUCGGGUUGUAAACCGCUUUCGCCUGUGACGAAGAGUGAGUGACGGUAAUGGGUAAAGAAGCACCGGCUAACUACGUG
rnacentral:rRNA from 1 species